rnacentral:lncRNA from 1 species
CAUAAGGGCACAUGAGGAAGUAAUCUAUCGUCCGCCCCUCCUCUAUGCUCCAGAGCUCGUCUGUUUGCCGGGAGGUGUUGAGAGGUUGUGCUGGUUUGUUUUUGGUGGUGAUGGAUUACAAACCUCCUCCCCAGGAUAAUUUCAGACGCUGGAAGGACUCGCUGCUGUUUUGCAUCUUGCUGUCUUCAGGGCUGGUGAGCCUGAGCACACCAGCCAUGGAGAAGGUGACCCAGGGUCAGCCGGCAGUCCUACCGUGUCAUCUCCCAGCUCCUCAGCCCCGCCUGGAGGCCACUCUGGUCUACUGGCAGACGAGUGAGGACAAGGUGGUCCACAUGUUCAACAGAGGCCGAGAGGAAUAUGAACACCAACACCAUUCAUACGUCAACAGGACCACCCUGUUCCCAGAGGAACUGCCCACCGGAAACUUCUCUCUGCAGAUAAACCCGGUGAAAGUGAGCGACAACUUCACCACAUUCCGGUGUUUAUGUGGAAGCAUUCAUGACAUCAGAGAAGUCAACAGAACCACGCUGCUGGUAGAAGUAGAGCCGGUGGUUCCCACCAGCCCACCAAACUCGAGUGCAGCGCUGCCCGCUGUGGCUGUGGCCGUUCUCAUAGUCCUGGCUGUCGUUUGCUUUCUGAUAGUGAGGAAGUGUCUGUCAUUUAAAACGGAUAAAGGAAACGCCCAGGAAACCCAUGACAACACCAACACUCAACCGAAGGAACGUGGGGAGAACUCGUCUUCAGAACUUGAAGCGCUGUGUCAGACUACAUGAAUGGAGGGGGGAAGACAGAAGAAGUUAUAGAAGCUGGGUUCCGGUCCCUGAGAAGCAUGGGGGAUUCCCAUGACAUCAUCUCAAAAACAGGAGGCCUGUCACAUCUUUCGCUUUAUUUUUAAUUCCUGUUUUUGUACUGUUAUGUAAUUAAUGUAAAUAAUGGAGGAGUAAUUGGUUUUAUGAUCCAUGUAUAUAUAGUGAAAAAGAAAGAAAGACUUUGAUUCAGAACGGUACUUCCUGGUCUGUUUGGGCUUAUAAUUAUUCAGGUUUCUCUGGUCACAGUUCCUGCCUUUUUACUUUUUUUUAUUUAUGCAAAUGACCAGGAUUUUAUCAAGACCCAAUAAAUAAAUAAUACAGCAAAAAAUAAUAACGGAA